CUCAUGAUGAGAACCUGCUGUGUAUCCCGUACACAAGGCUCUUACGGAUGGACUUCAACUCAUGGCAUCCGUCUUCAUUCAUAGGAAACUGAACCAUUGCACAAAGCCAGACAAGGAAAGGACCUGAUACUCCACCCAGUUUAUAUUCUCAAACAGAGACAGCAACCAGACACCUGUCACUCUGCCCGUUCUCAGAAAGCUGAGUGACAAGCCUUUCCAAAAACUAGCUUAAUAAUAGGUUAACAUGUGUCAUACCAAUCUAACCAAUAAAUGUUGUUUACAUUGCAAACCAAUUUAAGCCACAAAGUAUCUCCUCUCCUCUCCUGAUUUAGA